CAUUGUUUCAAGUUUUCGGACGAGAAAUGGUGGAGGAGAGUGGCGGAAGGGUGAGUAACGCGUGGAUAACCUACCCCAGAGUUGGGGACAACCUCACGAAAGCGGGGCUAAUACCGAAUGUGGUCUUGCCGUCAUGCGGUGAUGAUCAAAGAUGGGGAUCCUUCGGGACCUAUCGCUUGGGGCGGGGUCCGCGUGCCAUCAGCUUGUUGGUGGGGUAACGGCCUACCAAGGCUUACGGCUAGCUGGUCUGAGAGGAUGGUCAGCCACACUGGGACUGAGACACUGCCCAGACUCCUACGGGAGGCUGCAGUCGAGGAUCAUUCGCAAUGCGCGAAAGCGUGACGAUGCGACGCUGCGUGGAGGAUGAAGGCUUUCGGGUUGUAAACUCCUGUCAUGAGGGAAAAGCCGGCGGGCCGUUAAUAACGGUUCGCCCCGAUGGUACCUCAAGAGGAAGCCACGGCUAACUCUGUGCCAGCAGCCGCGGUAAUACAGAGGUGGCGAGCGUUGUUCGGAUUUA
rnacentral:rRNA from 1 species